AUAUACAUCAAAUUAAAGAAAAAAGUAUUCUAUUGUAUUUUUGGAAACUUAAAAAUAAUAAUAAAUGAAUAUGCAGGGCUAAACUUAGGGAAAUAUCUCGCAACAUACAAAAUUCGUUCCACACAACUUACCGGAAAAUUUCAAGAAGUAACGAUAGUUCUGAUCGUUGUUGAACAAACACUGAAUAUUCUUUUCUGCAUAUUAGUAAUCAUCUGUCAGUCUGCAAAAGCAAAUUUAACUUGCAGGGAUCUGAUGGUCCAAGUUUGGCGGCGACCCAACGAUGCUUACUUUCCAAAACUUAAUAGGGCAACACUAAAGCACAGGCGGUAAUGAUUUGUGGAAGCAUAUCGGGCAACCUACAUUUUGUGCAAGGUAUUAUGAAUCGUUUCCAAUAUGUUGACAUUUUAAAGGAAAAUGUAAAACAGUCAUGUGUCACAUUGGGAAUUAAAGACAAUUUUAAAUUUUUCCAAGACAACGAUGCGAAGCACUAAUCGAAGAUUGCUCGUACUUGGUUAAUAUACAAUUGCCUCAUGUAUAGGAUAACUACCCUAAUUCCCAGGUCUGAACGUUAUUGAGCACGCAGGGCAAGAAGUCAGUCGAAAAUUGAACCAAAAGAAGUAUUCCAGUGCUGCUGAGCUCCAAGAAGCUUGGAACGCAAUACCACUAGAAUUGUGUAAAAAACUUGUCACCUCUAUACCAAGGCAACUAGAAACUGUUUUAAUUGCAAAAGGAUAUGCUAAGAAAUAUUAGUAAUCAUUGGAUUUUUUAAAAAUGCGGUUAGUUGUGUGGAGCGAAUUUGUAGUACCGAAACUGAAUGACACUGACAAAAGAAUCAACAAUUUGCAGAAAAAAAAAAUAGCCCUAAAACUUUAUACCGCAUAUAUUGGCCAAUGUGGUAGUUAUUUUAAUGAAAUUGAGAGAGCGUAUUUUCCUAAUAACAGUGUAUAUUUUUGUCUAAUAUGGAUAAAAUCGUACGAAAGCUUGCCUUAGUAACAUGCAACUGAUAUUCAGGAUUUUGAAACGUCCGGCUGACUUUACUCAAUAUACUAUAUUUCUUCCAACAGGAUAACGAUCCUAAGCAUACGGCAAGAAUAGCAAAGGAAUGGUUGCUACACACCUAAACAACUGGAUCACCCGACACAAUCACCGGACCUAAACCUCAUUGAGCAUCUGUGGAAACAUUAGAACCGGAAAAUAAGGAAAAAGAGUAUACCCAGUAAAAGUUCUCUGAAGGAUAUUUUAUAAGAGGUGUGAUCCAAAAUCCAUGCAAAUGGAAGACAAACAAAGUAUUAACAUUGGAUUUUUUUAAUUUUUCUUAAACUGUACACUUUGUUUUGACGCGUAAAGUUCUGAGUAUAUUUCGUUUUGUUUGUGUUGUUUUUGUACUUGUGAAUUUUGUUUUGGAUUGCUGUUAUU